GUGGAUCCUGUGAACUGCAGGACACAUGAACACCGACAAGUUGAACGCAUAUUGCACAUCGUACCACAGUACGAUGUACACAUUUUUGAGUGCCUAUAUUUAUCGAUACAACUAUACGUGUGUGUGCGCGUCCCACUACCGGGUGGACAGGUGCACGGCCCAUGGCACAUAUGCAUAGUGAUGUUUUCCCUCCCGCUUCGGUCAGGUGGUAAAGCAUUUAAGUCAGUCAGCCGCCCACUUGCCGCGCGCGGCUGACGCGUACAACCCCUACCCGUCCCAGUGGCGGCGUGGCUAUGUUGCAUUGUAUCUUCCACUCUCAUCACACCCAGUACGCCUCAAAUAAUGUGUGACUACCCCCCAAACCCCAAAAUAUCGACAC
rnacentral:rRNA from 1 species